UCCGCUGGAGCCGUGAGCCGUGCCUUUUGAAGAUGGCAACAGAAAUAGGGUCGGUGUUCCCUUAGUGGACAGUCCCCUAUAGUCGCACUAGUGACUUUUCACGGCCGUUUUGCUAUAAAUCUUUUCAAAUCAUUUUUUGACAUGAAGGUCAGGACCUAUUU
rfam:Aedes aegypti strain Liverpool supercont1.95 genomic scaffold, whole genome shotgun sequence.